GAUCGAAAUUUCAUUGGCAGUACAUCAAACUGAAAAUUUGCUACUUCAGAAUUCCAUACUUCAAAAAUUGUUGAGCGUUUGGGCAAAAUGCACCUCCCGGAUUACAAUGAUUGUACUCCCUCUGGAAAGAAUUAUAAGACGUUGAGGGAUUUUCAGACACAGCCGACAAAAGUGCAAAUAGACAAUUAUGCCCUUGAUUUGAAUUUCAAACCAGUCGUCUUCUUCCUCACGUCCCCGCAUCAGCCGCGCAUCCAGGCGCUCGUCCUCGCCGCCCAGCUUCGGUCCCCAGGCCGCGCCCAGGCGCUCGUCCUCGCCGCCCAGCUUCGGUCCCCAGGCCGCGCGCAGGCCAUCCUCUCCGCGCCUAGGCCCUCCCAGCCACGCCCAGGCCCUCCCUUGCCGCGCCAGGGCGCCCUCCCUUGCCACUGCACCCAGGGAGCCCUCCCUUGCUACUCGCCUAGGUGAUCCCCGCUGCGCCCACCUUGCUGCUCGCAGGUGCUCCCUGCUGCGUCCACCUUGCUGCUCGCCCUGGUGCUCCUUGCAAGAAUUCAGCAACAUGAUCAACAGCAAGAAUUCAUCAUAGCAGCUGGAUCAAGGAGUACAACAACAACAAGAAUAAAUUCUCAUCAUAGCACAACAGCAGUUCAGGAGAUCACAGGUGCACAACAGUAGGAAGAGCAGAUCAGCAGUGUACAAUAGCAGGUGUAAAUCAACACAGGAGUACAACUUCUCAGUACAACAGCAGGUGCAAAUCAGCACAGGAGUACAAUUUCUCAGUACAACAGCAGGUGCAGGUCAUAAAGUACUCCUUGAUCAUAGCAAGAGCACCAACAAGAGGAAAAGUGGAGCACUAGCACAACAGUGGAGUACUCAUCAUGCAGGAGUAGCACAAACAGGAGAAUUUCUCAUCAUAGCAAGAGCACCGAUAAGAAUUUCUCAUCAUAGCAGCAGUAGCAAGAGGAAAAGUAGAGCACCAGCACAACAGCAGUAGCAACAGUACCUGAACAUCACAACAGCAACAUCACAGUAUGGUGCUUAGAUCUGAACUGCUCACCAC
rnacentral:lncRNA from 1 species